AAAGUCCUUGUGCCUCUGGCUUUCCAGAUG
rnacentral:piRNA from 1 species